AGAGAGGAGGACGAGGAGAAGAGUGGCUAAAUUCCUACUUCUCUGGAGUCAAGAAGGGGAUCAAGGGCAGCUUAAUGUCUACCUGUCCCUCACUCCUUUCUCUUCCCUUUGAACACUGGCAUUCCUUUCCUUAACCGUGACUCCUGCUUCCUGGCUCAUCCCUGGGGGUCCUGUGUGUGCCUGCAUGAAAGUGGGUGGGUCUUCUUUGUCUCUGUCGGUCUGAAGAAAAGAAGCAGCUGGAGGAGGAUGGCUGAAUUCCUGCUUCUCUGGAGUCUGGUGGGGAUCUUCGGCAGCUCUAGGGCUGUUCCUGCCUGGGUCAAUCUUACUGCCAAGGCCUCUCUCUGGAGGGCUGGGUGCUUGGCAAAGCAGUGGAGUGUGGUGAAGUGUGAUGAAGGCCAUCAGUAAAAAGACUUUGGGGAACUUUCCUCUCUCUUCAGGAGAUUGAAAUGAAGGGGAAAUGUGAAGAGUAACCAAGUUGUCUGGAAAAGUACAAAAUCCCAACUGAUUUCUACCAAAUGACUCUCCAAAAUCUCUGAUAUAAAGCCUGCAAAUGAAUUCUGGAGAAGCACAAUACCAAAAAGGACAGAGCAAAAUGAAUUUUCAUUCCAAAACACCUUAGAAGGCCAAGACAGAAGAUCUAGUGCACCAGGGUGGAAGUGGAUGUGGAAGCCUCCUGCCUCGGCAAGUCCAGAGCUCCUUUUGGUACAGCUGAAUCAACAGGAAAAACUUGUGGUGCUUACAGGCACAGAUCAUCAUUGGGGAGGGGCAACCACUCCAAAGGAGAUUACAAGGAAUCCCUUUGCUGUCUCUGGCUUGCAAGACUCUGAAUCCCUUUCCUAAAGUCAGAUCCAGGUAGUAGUCCAAAUGUGCAUUUGUAGGCAGAAGAGAGGCAGUAGCAGAGUACAAACCGGUUCUUUUGGUUUCAUGGGGUUUCAUGCAAGCCUGGUCAGAAUUGCAAGGAGGAAAGGAGUGCUUGUGCUUACACAUAUAGCAGAGCACAGGCCAGGAGAGUGUUAAAAACCAUCUUGGAAGAACUGACGCCAGUUAGAUCUCCUGAGGUAUCUCUGAAGGGAAGUGCCUAAAGAACCAGAAGCCUUGAACAAUGCUCCCUGCACUGUAGUUACAGAGCCCCACGUGAUCCAUUUUUUAAUGUGAAGGAAAAGAAAAGCCUGGAAAAAUGAGCAAACAAGAACCCACGAACCUCAGCAUAGAAAGUUAUUUGGGUCACAGGAACAACCAAAAAGAAUCCAACAUGAAGUCAGAAGAAGGCAACCACGUCAAUACUUGUUCAUCCAAAACCUCCAAGAAAAACAUGAAUUGCUCUCUAAGCCAAAAGCAUGUAGUACGGGAGAGCCAAAAGGAGGUUCAAAAUCAAACAAGAGAGGGAGAAGAAAAGUUGUGAGAGGAAAUGAGUGUGAUAUUGUAAAAUCAUGAAAAAGGAAAGUCAUGAAAAAAAAUGACAACGAUCACACUAAAGAAAUUAAUAGCUAAAGUUCCAGAAUAGGUCAACUGCAUAAAAGAGCCAAGUAAAUCCAAUCAAGAGAAGUUCUUAAAAUCAGAAUUGGCCAAAUGGUAAAAGAUAUAGAAAAGUGUACCAAAGGGAACACAACCUCAAAACAGGCAGAAUUGGCAAGAUGGAAAAAGAGAUAGACAUUCCCUGAGGAAUCAACUGUUUAUUCAUUAGAAUUCAUUGACUAGGAAAGGAGGUAUAAAAGCUCUUUCAAGAAAAACAUGCUUUCAAAAUUAAUAUUGAAUAAAUCGAAGCCAGCUAAUGACCCCAUGGGUCAUUUAGAAACGAUCCAGCAAAGUUAAAUGAAUUACAAACAAACAAACAAACAAACAGAAAGGUGGAAUAUCUCACUGAAUAAAAGAACUGACCUGAAAAAUCAAUCCAUGAGAGAUCAUCUCAGAAUUAUUGGAUGACCUGAAAGCCAUGAUCAACAAGGAGAUCUGAUAUCAUCAUUCAAGAAAUUAUCAAGGAAAACAUCCAGGACAUUCUAGAACCAGAGGGUGAAAUGGAAUUGAAUAACCCACUCAUCACCUUGAGAAGAAGAUACCAAAAGGACAACUCCAAAGAAUAUUGGAGUCAAAUUUUGUUCCUCUCAGCUGAAGGAGAAACGAUUGCAAAGAGACAAAA